rnacentral:rRNA from 1 species
ACGGGAGGCAGCAGUGGGGAAUAUUGGGCAAUGGGCGAAGGCCUGACCCAGCAACGCCGCGUGAAGGAAGAAGGUCUUCGGAUUGUAAACUUCUUUUAUGAGGGACGAAGGACGUGACGGUACCUCAUGAAUAAGCCACGGCUAACUACGUGCCAGCAGCCGCGGUAAUACGUAGGUGGCAAGCGUUAUCCGGAUUUACUGGGUGUAAAGGGCGCGUAGGCGGGGAUGCAAGUCAGAUGUGAAAUCUAUGGGCUUAACUCAUAAACUGCAUUUGAAACUGUAUCUCUUGAGUGCUGGAGAGGUAGAUGGAAUUCCUUGUGUAGCGGUGAAAUGCAUAGAUAUAAGGAAGAACACCAGUGGCGAAGGCGAUCUACUGGACAGUAACUGACGCUGAGGCGCGAGAGCGUGGGGAGCAAACAGGAUUAGAUACCCUGGUA